rnacentral:tRNA from 2 species
GUCCCGUUCGUCUAGAGGCCUAGGACACCGCCCUUUCACGGCGGCAACAGGGGUUCGAAUCCCCUACGGGAUACCA